GACGUAGGGCGCGAGCGUUGUCCGGAUUUAUUGGGCGUAAAGAGCUCGUAGGCGGCUUGUCGCGUCGUCCGUGAAAACCUGGGGCUCAACUCCAGGCUUGUGGUCGAUACGGGCAGGCUCGAGUUCGGUAGGGGAGACUGGAAUUCCUGGUGUAGCGGUGAAAUGCGCAGAUAUCAGGAGGAACACCGGUGGCGAAGGCGGGUCUCUGGGCCGAUACUGACGCUGAGGAGCGAAAGCGUGGGGAGCGAACAGG
rnacentral:rRNA from 1 species